rnacentral:misc_RNA from 1 species
GUAUUGUAUGUUAUUCCUGACAAAAAAGGAUGCUGGUUAUGGCCCCUUUAUCUUUCUUUGGUAUCCCAAAAGAUGUUGGUCAUAUGCUGAUGUUAUAUAUUUGCUCUUUGAGAAGAAAAAACUCCCUUUAAUCGAUUGAUUUAUAUGUUGGAUGUGUGGGAAAAGGAUGAUAGGAAUGUUGUUUUGUUCAAUUAUGAAUGAGCAGUUGAAAAAAAAUAAGUGGGUCUAAAAAGAGGUUUUUAAAGGGUAAAUACAAACAAAUAUUUUUGUGUUCUCUUGUGCUGUGGCCUUUUAUCUGCAAGGAUAAUCUGGUAUUUGAAGGAAUUGCUUUUAUUAAUACACUUGAUUAAUUAGCAUUAAAUUGAUUUGAGGGGCUGGAGGAGUGGAGAAAUUACAACUACAUGUACAUUGGAAGGAACAAAAGAUAUUGGUCUAGUUGUCUAGUUGACCAGAUGUUAUGAUUUUGUUAGGGUACGUUGCAAUUCAUUAUCUUCAAAUUUUGGUUUGCAGGAGUGAAUCAUGUUUAGAUGUCAUGGAGUGG